rnacentral:rRNA from 1 species
UGGGGAAUUUUGGACAAUGCGGGAAACCGUGAUCCAGCAACGCCGCGUGAGUGAUGAAGGCCUUAGGGUUGUAAAGCUCUUUUACCGGGGAUGAUCAUGACAGUACCUGGAGAUUAAGCUCCGGCUAACUCCGUGCCAGCAGCCGCGGUAAUACGGAGGGUGCUAGCGUUGUUCGGAAUGACUGGGCGUAAAGCGCGCGUAGGCGGCUAUCCAAGUCAGGGGUGAAAUCCCGGGGCUCAACCCCGGAACUGCCCUUGAAACUAGGUAGCUAGAAUACUGGAGAGGUGAGUGGAAUUCCGAGUGUAGAGGUGAAAUUCGUAGAUAUUCGGAAGAACACCAGUGGCGAAGGCGACUCACUGGACAGUUAUUGACGCUGAGGUGCGAAAGCGUGGGGAGCAAACAGGAUUAGAUACCCCUGUAGUCC